GAUGAACGCUGGCGGCGUGCCUAAUACAUGCAAGUAGAACGCUGAAGCUUGGUGCUUGCACCGAGCGGAUGAGUUGCGAACGGGUGAGUAACGCGUAGGUAACCUGCCUCUUAGCGGGGGAUAACUAUUGGAAACGAUAGCUAAUACCGCAUAAAAGUCGAUAUCGCAUGAUAUUGAUUUGAAAGGUGCAAUUGCAUCACUAAGAGAUGGACCUGCGUUGUAUUAGCUAGUUGGUGAGGUAACGGCUCACCAAGGCAACGAUACAUAGCCGACCUGAGAGGGUGGUCCGCCACACCGGGACUGGGACACGGCCCAGGCUCCUUCGGGAGGCAGCAGUAGGGGAUCUUCGGCAAUGGGGGCAACCCUGACCGAGCAACGCCGCGUGAGUGAAGAAGGUUUUCGGAUCGUAAAGCUCUGUUGUAAGAGGAGAACGAGUGUGAAGGUGGAAAGUUCACGCUGUGACGGUAACUUACCAGAAAGGGACGGCUAACUACGUG
rnacentral:rRNA from 1 species